AGGCCUACGGGGGGCAGCAGUAGGGAAUCUUCCACAAUGGACGAAAGUCUGAUGGAGCAACGCCGCGUGAGUGAAGAAGGGUUUCGGCUCGUAAAGCUCUGUUGGUAGUGGAGAAAGAUAGAGGUAGUAACUGGCCUUUAUUUGACGGUAAUUACUUAGAAAGUCACGGCUAACUACGUGCCAGCAGCCGCGGUAAUACGUAGGUGGCAAGCGUUGUCCGGGUUUAUUGGGCGUAAAGCGAGUGGAGGCGGGUUUAUUAGUCUUGUGUGAAA
rnacentral:rRNA from 1 species